AAAAAAACUCCAUCAAGAGUCAUCACCCUACCAAUCCUUCAUCAUGAGGCACCGAAAAUUGAGGAGCCGCUGAAAUCUGUGGUCAUUGCAAUCUCAACUUCCGUCUGCAAGUAGUACAUGUCCUGAUCUAAAUCAACCAGCACAGCGUGUGCUAGCUAGCCGCGUAUGUGUGUCAGCUUUCCUAUAUCCAUCAAGUACGUGCAUGCCUGUUAUGCCCAGCGAGAAUCAAGUAGGUGCAUGGCUGUUGUGUCCAGCGAGAAGCUUUCUCAUAUCCACAAGUACGUGCAUGGUUGUUGUGUCCAGCGAGAAGCAUCAGCGACAAGCGGUGGGCUAUUUUGCCAACAACAUGAAUAUUCAGAUCAGUAGAAAAAGGAUGCUCACCGACAUCAUAUUUACACAUUACUCGAUGAAAGCCCAAUUAAUGAAGUGGAUAAUCAAACAGAUAGCCCACGAUGGUGUGGUCAUAUACUCUUGGACAGCUUGGAAUAAUAUGAUUUGUCGCCGGGGCUAAUCUAACGGAGGAUUGCGGAUGUUUUUACGUGCAUAUAUACAAAGACAUCACGCACAUUGUGAUAUUGGUAUGUAUAACUGAUAUAUGUAUUUAUGUUGACCUCAAAUAGAGUAGACCGCCUAUUAAAUCCCGGACUUGCCAAAAAUUAAGCCAUAUGUAAGAAUCAUGCAUGUAUUAAAAGAUCUAAUAUACAUAUGCAUGUGUGUAGCCUUACAAUGUGAUAUUUCAAACAAUCUUCAUCAAUAAUUGUAUAAAUAAAAAUAUAUAGCGAAAGAAAAAUAACCCGUCAUAUGUUCUGAGUUAUCACCAUCAUAUUUUGACUGAUUUGUUAGAAAUCCCCUUAUCAUCCUAAAAACAUAUGCAUGUCUGAUUUGUGGUUGUUAAGAUAAUCAACAAAAGUUAGUCAUAAAAAUCUAGGAAAAUUUAUUACACGUGGAAGAGAGAGGUUAUGCUCAAUAUCUUGUGGUGUUUUCAGACAUGCUUUUGCCAGAAAAAGGAAAAGCAAAUACUAGAAUAGAGCUGAAAGCAAUUAGAUUUCACUAACACAACCACCCGUACGCACAAAAUAUUGAUUCACCCACAUUUAUUUCUUGAAUUUUUAUAACGUCGAGGUUCGGGAGAAAUAAAACAUGCACUCGAUUUCUCUCAUAUACAACCACAUUGCCUAAAUUACAUCCUAAAUAAAGUUUUCUAUUGUUCCUGCAUAUAUUAUGAUUUUAAUUUACAUGACACAAGUAGAAUGUCAUAUGUAUAUAUAGUUAUCCUGAACUGAUCUAGGGGAUACAAUUAUUUUUUGCAAUUUAACUAACCAGGAAAAAUGAUUCCAUGUUAUAGUGAUAGUUUUCUAAUCUUAAGUUAGUUCAUGUACUCUUUAAAUGGUGCGAGGAAUUAUGCGUAUAAUAAAUGGGAAUUGGCCCUUGCCAAAAGAUGUUUUAGUUAGUGGACUACGACUGUUAGAUCGUCAUAUUGUUCGUAAGAUAAUUGCAAUUGUUAGAUGUUCAUAGAGACCUCAAAGAAUCAUACAUAUAUAACUGAUAGGUAGAAUCUUUAUAUUUACUACUCCCUUCGUUCCUAGAUAUAAGUCUUUUUAGACAUUUCAAA